AUGCAAUAAUAUCAUACAGUAACUACCAUAACUAACAGCCAUAGGGGGGACAUAAGCUAAAACACAAAUCAUCUAUAGGUAACCCUGCUGAUCCACACCCAACCCUGGAAGAGGCGUACGAAAAACUCUAGGAGCCCCUAUCCUACAACCCUGAUUCUAGACCUCCAGACUUUCCUAUCAAGGGUCAUGUCCUCGGACACCUACAUUCUAGUCAUGUCCUGCCUAAUCACCUCUCCCCAAUACUUCUUAGGCCCCCCUCUUCCUCGCCGACCGCCAACAAUCUCCAGCCGCUCGCAGCUCCUCACCGGGGCAUCGGGACCCCUCCUCCAUACAUGCCCGAACCACCUCAGCCUCGCUUCCCGCAUCUUCUCGUCCACUGGGGCCACCUCUACCUUCUGANNN
rnacentral:lncRNA from 1 species